AUGAGUUCCAGAAAGCCGGGUUCUCAAUCUCAUGGACAACAAUCUGCAGAAGAAGACAACUUCAAAAAACCAACUAGAAGCAACAUGCAGAGAUGAGAGGGGCCUCCUCAGGAAAGAAGGCAGCUGGUCCACAGCAGAAAAAUCUUGAACCACCUCUCUCAGGAAGAUGUGGGGUCGCUCUGCAGAGAACUUCUUAGCUUCAGGAUCCGUGAGGAAGACCAGAAAGAACAAACAGAGGACUCCUGGAAACAGAUAUGGGGGCAGUACCAGCAAAGCACCUCAGACCCCAGGGAAGGAAAGAGCCUGGGCAGACCUCACUGUUGAAAGCGAGGACGCAUUUAAGAACAGAAUGGAAGUUAAAGUGAAGAUGCCUGAAGAAUCGAAACCAUGGCUUGCUGGGGACUGGAACUUAGUUACCAAGCAGAAGCAGCUGUUUUAACUCCCUGCUAAGCAAAAUGUAGAUGCAAUUCUAAAGGAGUAUGCAAAUUGUAAAACAUCGCAGGGAAACGUCGAUAAUAAGGCAUAGGCAGUUAAUGAAAUUGUGACAAGAAUAAAAGAAUAUUUCGACGUGAUGUUAGGCACUCAGCUGCUCUACAAAUUUGAGAGGCCCCUGUAUGCAGAAAUCCUCUUGGCUCACCCUGAUGCUCCUGUGUCCCAGGUUUAAGGGGCACACACCUACUGAGGUUAUUUGUAAGAAUAGGAGAAAUGUUGGCCUAUAUAUCCCUUGAUGAGAAGAGCCUUGCGUUAUUGUUGGGCCAUUUGCAUGAUUUCCUAAAAUAUCUGGCAAAGAAUUCUGCAUCUCUUUUUACUGGCGGUGAUUACAAAGUAGCUUCUGCUAAGUACCACCACAAAGCCCUG
rnacentral:lncRNA from 1 species